GAACUCCAGGUGGACGCCGGGAGCUAUGAGGUGCACCAACCACGGUGGAUGUGACUUACCCACAGCAUGGCACGCGGCCCACGAGGCUCAGGCCAGAUCCCUGUCCUACCCCAUGAGAUCUACUCCAGAAGUAAAUCUACCUGUUCGUCAACUACAAAUUGCAUCUUCUAGCAUAUACACAAUUCACCCCACCUUCAGCCAACGUGGAACCGUGUCUUGCACAUCUACUUUCCUCCCAUAAAUGACGCUUUGCCCGUGAGAUCCCCUGGCUCUGCACCUCAGGUGAGUUAUUCUGAAUCACUGGAUUCUCCUUCCAAACAAUGGGCCUAACUUACAGGGCUUUUUUUAAAAAGAUUAAAUGAGAAAAUACUAUAUGGUUCACAGUUUUUCUACCCCACCAUUUCCCUUUAGGGGCAUAAACCAUAAAGCUUGAAAGUCAGACAGAUCUGGGUCAAAAUCCAGGUGCUGUAAUUGACCAAACUCUGGGAUCUCAGGUUCUACUUCUCUUGGCUUUACUUUCAGCAUCAGAAAAAUGGGGUUGAUCUCCUCUUCAGGGGAUGGAGCAGGCAUUGAAUGGCCACAUAUAGGCCCUCUGGACCCAGAGUUUCUGAAUCAGAGGAUUCAACCAACCUCAGACGGAAAAAUUUGUGUCACAACUGAACGUAUGCAGGAUGUUUGUUUUUGAGACAGGUCUCGCUAUGUUGUCCAGGCUGGCCUUGAACUCAAGGCCUGGCCUCCAGCGAUCCUCCCGCCUUAGCUUCCCAAAGACCUGGGACCACACCUGGCUACAGCACAGAAGAUUGUUCCUUGCCAUUAUUUCUUUGCCUACACAAUACAGUAUAACCACUCCGUACAAAGCAUUCACAACGUAUUCGGUAGUAUAUCUCGUAAUGAUUGAGGAUGUCUGUAGGUCAUGUGCAAAUUAUAUUAAGCAAUUUAUAGUAAGGACUUGAAACACUGAUUUUGGCCUUGGAGAGCGUCCUGGAACCAAUCCCUUGAAGGGCAAAAUAGCAGGGGUCACUGUCGUUGGUGCUGGACUCCUUGAGUUGCUGGCCACAGGAUCUUUGGGAAUUGGGACCCUAUCUCUGGAAAGCUCCCAGGUGUGGCCUGCCCAGCCCUGAAUGAGCCCUGGACUUGAAGCCAUCGAUUCUUCCCCUUCCUCUGGAGCUGUCAGGACCCAGCUCCAAAGGGCAGCAGCUCCCAGGAGCUGACAGGACGGCAGAGCUCGCUUGAAGGUCCAGGAGAGGAGUUUAAGAAGGGAAGGAGAGGCUGCCACCCGUGGGCCCGGAUCACAUGCCUCUGCCAUGCACAGGUAAGGGCGAGCCACUAUAGAAGGCAGAGUUUUCUUUUAAAUUACACUAAUGGCUAAUGUUUAUAGAGAUGUGCUAGGCCUGGUGCUGAGAACCACAACUCUUCAUUUGAUCUGACGUCCCCAGACUUCCUCACCUGAUAGAUGGCAAAACUGAGAUUCAAAGAGGUGAAAUGACUGUCCCAAGGCCACAGAGUGCAGCAGAGGGGCUGCCAUUUGAACCACCUGGCUCUAGAGCUCCCUUGUUGCCCCACUCCUGGAGUCUCCAGAAGAACUUCAGAAUUCUGGAGCUCAGGACUGGUUCCAGACACAGCCAGGGCACCCAAGGGCCUGAGGAGUCACAGUCCGAUUCCAAGACACAUGGAGGUUGAGAGGCAUCCUCCAGGUGCCCAGCCACCCCAGGGCCACCUGGUGCCUGUCCUCUCCUGGGGACUCACCACUCCAGCAACUCCUACUCUUUCUCCUCCACCAGCCACGCGGGGCGUGGGGCAGAGAGAACCAGGAUUUUAUCAAGACAAAGAACAAAAGUCGUGGGGGAAAGAAGCCAAGAGCCAUCUCCCCUGUGGGGUAGGGCCCUUCAGUUUUGCCCCUUUGAAAUUUCAAAUUCCAGUUUGUGGACAAAGUCCUAACUAUCUCACAAUAUAGGUUCCCAACUGCUGACCAAACUCCAGUCUAGCCGCCACCUGGCCCCAGGCUGGCCCAGUCUGGCUGCUUCCCGACAGCUCCCAAGAUCUGGGGUAGGAGGCCAAGGGCAGCUGGGGACCGCCAAGGACCCCCACCUCCCACCUGAGAGGACAGCUUCCUGCCCAGAGUUGGGAUCUGAUGCUUCCUGGUCUCAACAGCAGAUGCCAGGUAGGCGCCCUGGCGGUCUGGGCCUCUGGGCUCCUCCUGGAGCCCCCAACGGACCACCUGCUCACACUGCCAUGGCUUAAUCCCCAAGGGACCCCACAGCACUGGACAGGCUGUGUCCCUGACCCACUCCUUUGGCACAUGGAGACACUGAGGCUGUCGGCAAAUGGAAGCUGCUGCAGUUUGAAGAGUGGAGCUGGCCAGAGACCAGGGGCCCCUCCCUGAGCCCCAAAGGCUGGAAGGGACUUGGGAAUUGCUCCAGGCCACUCAGUGGUGGCAGGUAAGCUUGGACUGAACAAGGAGGUCAGUCCCCUUCGCUUCCUCUCCUACAGACCGUGGAUGGCCCUGUGUGUUUGUCCACUCAGUGACUGAUGGCCACCAGGUUGCCCCAGGAGCAUUUCCGAGAGGAAGACGAGGGAGCUGGGGCUGAAGGCCAGUGGGAUUGGAAGGAAACACUAUUCACAUGGUUAACUGAUAACUGGGCCCCAUCCCCGGGCCUCCACAGGCCUCUUUCCUCCCUCCCUCUCCUCAGCAUGAUUAAGAUGAACUUACCUGCCUGCUAAUCAUUGCUGAGACUGUUGAUUUUGCCUUAAAAAAUUAACUGGGCAUGAGUUUGCGGUUUGCCUCACCCCUAACCCUGAAAAGGCCUGGGUGGGCAGGAGGCCUCCUGGGUUAUGCAAGAGGCCGCUGGCCUCCCCACGCGCAUCCCGUGGCCUCCUCUGCCGUUCUCCAAAGGGGAGUUUUGCUCAAGAGUCAACAGUCUGCCUGUCCCCCUGCCGGGUCCUGAGCAAAUUUGCUCUGUUACCAAAGAGAGAUAAAAACACUGUGGAAUGGGGGUGGGGGGAACUUUCCAAAUGGGGAUGUGAAGCAGUGGCUUUGAGCUUGGGUUUCUAGAAUCCUGCAGCAUCAGAGCCAAGAGAACCUUUCGGAGGAUGUGGGCUGGGGCUUUUUAUUUUUAUUUGACUUUUCAAAGCAGCUUCUGGUGUUCCCAGGAGCCCACAGAUUGAUGCUCUCUUAGGUGUGAUCUUUCUUAAUGUUUCCAUUGAGAGAAGGGAGACCACAGGUGCAGCCUCAGCCCCUCAGUGUGCAGAUGGGAAAAGAGGCCAGGGGAGGGGUGGGUGCCUCAGACAAGAACACAGGCCACCCAGGUAUCCUGGGUCUCCAGCCGAGACAGGGAUAACAGGUACUCUCUGGACCUGAAUGACAUGUUGAAGGACAUCAGGGAACAAGGUGGCUGCAUGCACAUCUUCCCCUGCCAUCCCCCUCUUCUUGGAGGGCAGAAGUAAGCAGAGAGGUGUCCUGAGAGUCCUGGAAGAUCCCACGGCAGGGGACUUCACCUGUAGUGUGUUCUGUGGUCCUCUGAGGAGCAGGACCAGCAGCAUGAGCUGCAAACCAGACUCUGUCACAGCCCCUCUUGGCCAACCCUGCCCUGACUCUCGGUCCCUCCGAACCUCAGUUUCUCUCCCUGUAAAUUGGGAACAAUACCUACCUAACUCCUAGGGUUGUCAGGAGGGUGAACGGAGUAAAAAGCAUUCAUUGAUAAUGAGGGCCAAUGUGCAUGCAGCUGUUUCGGGGGGGCUAUCCAUCCGUGUUAGCUCAUGAAUUCUUACACCACCCUAACACAGACAGUGUUUUUAUCACCAUUUUGUGGAGCAUGGGCACAGAAUGAUUGAGUCAUGCGCUCAAGCCCACUCAGCUGAUAAGAAAUAAGUUAGGAUUCAAGUCCAAACUGAUUGCAGAAUCUGUGCUCCUAACCCUAAAGCACCCUGCCUUUCCAGGAAUGUACGUAGUAAGGGCUCAAGGAAAGCUGGUCAGUAGAGGGGCAUGGAAGUCCCUCUGGUCAGAGAUCAGGGCAUUGCAGGAGCUGCUGAGUUUGAGGUAGAGAGGAUGGCCAGAGGCUGAGCCAUCAGGAGGAAAGCCAGGACCCAGUCUGUGUGGGCGGAGCCGCCCUGUGGGUUGCCUGCCUGCUGCCAGGGGGGCGUUCCUGUUCUCCUGUUUAUGUUCAUCUCUUCUGUUUAUGUUCCUGACUUUAUCUGCAGGGGUGACCUUGGGGAAUUAGAUGGGGCCUAGCCUGCCCUCAUGGGGCCUGAAGGGUGAUGGGAAGUUCCUGCUCAGUCCAGGCCCUCGACUCAGGGAUAAAAGUCGCCCUUAGCCUCUCUGGAUCCCUCCUGAGGGGCUUCAGGGAUUUGUCUGGAGGUCACUGCGGUGAAAGAUUUGCAAGUCCUGAGACUUAGGCCAGGAUCACUGUGUACAGUUGUACAAGCUGCUCCCCACACGCAUGUUCUCUAGCCAAGAUGGUUGAGUGGGGGUAGAAAUCCAGCCCUUGCUCCAAAGCCCAUGAACUUUGCCUGCCUGGAGGGGGAUGUCUUUUUCUUAUUUGCACAAAGAAUCCAUGUAAGCUACUAGGAGCUCUGCCCCAGCUCUGUUUCCAGCCACUGUGUGACCUCGGACAAAGCCCAUCCCUUCCUGGCCUUGGAUUCCUGUUUGGGAAGUUGUGUCUAGCAUAAAGCAGAGAUUCAAUCUAGAUAGUGAAACAGAAUCACCUGGGAUCUUAAAAAAAUAUAUAGAUGCUCAGCUGCUCGGGUAGCUCAGUGGUAGAGCAGAGAGCAAGUUGUUCCAUUCUCAGCCCUAAAGCAAAACACUGAGGCCCAGGCUGGGUGAUACGCCAGUGAUCAAAUCUUAGGGUAGCAGUGAGUAGUGCUCGGCUUCAGUAGUUUUUGAAAUCCCUGGAUGAUUCUGAUCAUCCAGGAUGAUUCAGGCCCAUCACAGAAGGCUUGACAUUUUGAAGUGGAAAGACCUUGACACAGGUCUGAGUUUUCCAACUAAGUGCAGCUUACUAUUCAGAACUUCAGGGAGGAUUGGUUUCCCCAUCUGUAAAAUGGACCCACAACUCCCUCACAAUGUCAGAAUGCUGAGUCAGCGGAUGACAUCCUGAGAUGGUCCCUGAUUCUUGGUGCCAAUGGCUGUUAUUGUUACUGUCAAUAAAAUAUUGGUAUCAAGUAAAAGGCCCUUCCAGGCCAAGCGUUCAGGGACAUGGAGCCAGGCUUUCUCUGUUCCUUGGAUGCCCAUCUUCUCUGCCCACCUGUCCUAUUAUUGAAGUUGUGUGGUGAUGAUGAUGAUGAUGAUCUGAUUUGUUAGACAUUGCACAUUUAUUUCUGAAUCAUUAACGACCUUCACAUGGCUCAGAAUCAGAUGUGAAAAAGGUACCCUGUUGAGAAGCCCGGUCCGCUCUGCCUGCUGCUGCCUGAGCUCUCCACCUCUUUACCACCCUUCCUCAUUUUCCUACUUUCUCAUGGAUCUUUCUUGAAAGUCUUUCACGGAAGUACAAGAAUCUAUAAGAUCACAGGUCGUCAGCCCUGCCUCCCACACUGUCCUGCCUCCUGCCUGUUUCCUUGACCAUUAUGGCCUGCAGAUUUUCCCAUAGCAGUUGAGAGCCAGCUUUGGGAGAAAACAGGCUCUGGGAGGGAGCGUUGUUUUCCCAGGAAGCCAAGUCAGUCAUGUUUGAACUCUCUCUCCUUGGCUCCAGAGCCCAUGUCUGUCCCCUGAACUGAAGUGGCCUUCCAGGAACCCAGGCCUCAGGAGUUUGGGAGCCAGGCAUAAACUGGUGCAGCACAGACCUGGCCUUCCCGGGCAUAAGGGAAGGUGGGGUUGGGUGGGCUGUUAGGGCCUCUCCUGUUUCUGGGCCCUGAAGACCCAAAGACAGGCUAAAGUAUGGAAUAAGUCAUCCAAAUAGGGACCCAGUGAGGGGUGUCCCCUGGAUGGGACGUCAUGGCCUGGUGGCCCUGCCAUCCAGCACUGUAGAACCUGCAAGCUCAGAGUGUGCUGGCAGCAGCAAGGUCCAAAGGAGGAGGGGCAGGGAGGAAGGGAAGCCUAGCCAAUGGGACGGCCAAUGCAGAGCCCUGGGGGACCCAUUCCUGGAGGGCAGGAUUUGGAAUUCAAGACAGAAGUGGUGAGGACAGCUUAGCCCACAUUUUCUGUGCAGGCGAAUUCAGGGUCCCCCUGGAUCCUUGACCUGCUCAGAGCACUGACUGAGCAAGUCAAGCUCGCUCUCUGCGCCUCAGCUGCAAAAUGAAGAUUAGACAGCUGGUCUUUGGGCAGCCUUGAAGCACCCCUAAAGGCAUCUUUGGGGGCUCCCUCUCCUUGUUGAGGGAAUCUGAAUCCUGUUUUGACCAGAAUAUCAUUCACCUAUCAGGGCCCUUGGCCUUCCUGGAUGGGGGCUGGGGAUAAAAGUCUCCACACUGCUUCAAAGUCCAGCCUCCUCCCCCCAGUUCUGUGUCUCCCUCCUGCCACCCCAUAUUCCUUCCAGGCAAAUGCAGAGGCAGGACCAUACCUGGUGGGUCCUGGGGGAAGCCCUGGCCCCCGUCCGACAUCCUCCUCCCGGUGCUAUGGGGUCCCGCACAGUGGGCAACCUCUUCAUCCCUGAGUCAACCCCUGCUGCCACCCUGGCACCCUAGACCCUGUGGGGACUGCUGGGCAGAGUUAAUCCCUUAAUACUGGUCACAAUGAGAUUUCAGGGAUGGUGGGAGGCGGUCUCCAUGGAGACCGAAGACCUGUCCAGGACCCACGCAAGGAAUUAGCCCCAGGCCUCUGCAAGGGGCCCCUAGAGACCCAACCCAAACAGUGGGAGACGCCGGGCCUGCAGGCCUGGGUCUGGCCUCCUGCUCUCUGUGUUCUUUUGCUGAACAGGUGAGAUGCAUUCAUGGGAGCCUGCGUCACCUUUCUGAGACAGAUUCUUUAUCCUCCAUUUGGGGUUCUGGGCCUCAAUCAACUUUUCUAGAAGAGUGCCACUUUGGGAGUCUGUUAGACCUGAAUUUGAUGCUCAGCUUUUCUGUCUCAGACUGCCUCAGGCCAAGCACUGCGCUUCUCUGAGCCUCAGUUUCCUCAUCUUUAGGAUGGGCACCAUAAUGCCACCCUGGUGUCACUCUUGGGUCUGUGUGGUGGGUAGUGACACUCAGUGAAUGUAAGUGUCUUCACCUCUUUCUGCUGCCCUUCCCCAAUCACCUGAAGACCCCACGCCACACCCUCGUCCCUGGCAGAGAGCUGUCACAUCUCUCUCUGCCACCCUGUCCC
rnacentral:lncRNA from 1 species